GACGAACGCUGGCGGCGUGCUUAACACAUGCAAGUCGAGCGGUAAGGCCCUUUCGGGGGUACGACGAGCGGCGAACGGGUGAGUAACACGUGGGUGACCUGCCCUUAGCUCUGGGAUAAGCCUGGGAAACUGGGUCUAAUACCGGAUAUGACUCCAUGACGCAUGUUGUGGGGUGGAAAGCCUUGUGCGGCUAGGGAUGGGCCCGCGGCCUAUCAGCUUGUUGGUGGGGUGAUGGCCUACCAAGGCGACGACGGAUAGCCGGCCUGAGAGGGCGACCGGCCACACUGGGACUGAGACACGGCCCAGACUCCUACGGGAGGCAGCAGUGGGGAAUCUUGCGCAAUGGGCGAAAGCCUGACGCAGCGACGCCGCGUGGGGAUGACGGCC
rnacentral:rRNA from 1 species